UACGAAGGGGGCUAGCGUUGUUCGGAAUUACUGGGCGUAAAGCGCACGUAGGCGGGUUGUUAAGUCAGGGGUGAAAGUCCUGGAGCUCAACUCCAGAACUGCCUUUGAUACAGCACGUCUCGAGUCCGGAAGAGGUGGGUGGAAUUCCUAGUGUAGAGGUGAAAUUCGUAGAUAUUAGGAAGAACACCGGUGGCGAAGGCGGCCCACUGGUCCGGUACUGACGCUGAGGUGCGAAAGCGUGGGGAGCAAACAGG
rnacentral:rRNA from 1 species